AGUCAUAACAAGGUUUCUGUAGGUGAACCUGCAGAAGGAUCAUUAGUGAUUGCACAAUGGAGCGUCCCACUCGUUGGGAACUCCGACUCUCUCACAUUAUCCACAUACACCUGUGCAUGCGGUCGGAAUGCUACUGUCGCCAAGCGGCUCUGGCGGACCGGCCCACAUUUACCUAAACACAAUGUCAAUAGGAUGUUUCUUUUUACGUCUAACGACGCAAUACAAAGAAAACUUUCGACAACGGAUCUCUUGGUUCUCC
rnacentral:misc_RNA from 1 species